rnacentral:rRNA from 1 species
UACGUAGGGUGCAAGCGUUGUCCGGAAUUAUUGGGCGUAAAGGGCUCGUAGGCGGUCCAUCGCGUCGGGGAGUGAAAAGCUGGGGCUUAACCCCAGUCCUGCUUCCGAUACGGGUGGACUAGAGGUAGGUAGGGGAGAACGGAAUUCCUGGUGUAGCGGUGAAAUGCGCAGAUAUCAGGAGGAACACCGGUGGCGAAGGCGGUUCUCUGGGCCUUACCUGACGCUGGAGGAGCGAAAGCGUGGGGAGCGAACAGG